rnacentral:rRNA from 1 species
GAUGAACGCUAGCGGCAGGCCUAACACAUGCAAGUCGAGGGGUAACAUAGAAAAGCUUGCUUUUCUGAUGACGACCGGCGCACGGGUGCGUAACGCGUAUACAACCUACCUUUUAGCGGGGAAUAGCCCAGGGAAACUUGGAUUAAUGCCCCAUAGUAUAUAGACUUCUCCUGAAGUUUAUAUUAAACAUUUAUGGCUAUUGGAUGGGUAUGCGUCCUAUUAGUUAGUUGGUAAGGUAACGGCUUACCAAGGCAGCGAUAGGUAGGGGUCCUGAGAGGGAGAUCCCCACACUGGUACUGAGACACGGACCAGACUCCUACGGGAGGCAGCAGUGAGGAAUAUUGGACAAUGGGCGAGAGCCUGAUCCAGCCAUGCCGCGUGCAGGAAGACUGCCCUAUGGGUUGUAAACUGCUUUUACAGAGGAAGAACCACCCCCACGUGUGGGGGUUUGACGGUACUCUGCGAAUAAGGAUCGGCUAACUCCGUG